rnacentral:rRNA from 1 species
UGGGGAAUAUUGGACAAUGGGGGAAACCCUGAUCCAGCAAUGCCGCGUGAGUGAAGAAGGCCUUAGGGUUGUAAAGCUCUUUCACCCGCGAAGAUAAUGACGGUAGCGGGAGAAGAAGCCCCGGCUAACUCCGUGCCAGCAGCCGCGGUAAUACGGAGGGGGCUAGCGUUGUUCGGAAUUACUGGGCGUAAAGCGUACGUAGGCGGAUGCGCAAGUUGGGGGUGAAAUCCCGGGGCUUAACCUCGGAAUUGCCCUCAAAACUGCACGUCUUGAGACCGAGAGAGGUAAGGGGAAUUCCUAGUGUAGAGGUGAAAUUCGUAGAUAUUAGGAAGAACACCGGUGGCGAAGGCGCCUUACUGGCUCGGUACUGACGCUGAGGUACGAAAGCGUGGGGAGCAAACA